rnacentral:tRNA from 1 species
GCACCGGUAGCUCAAUUGGAUAGAGCAUCUGACUUCGGAUCAGAGGGUUGGGGGUUCGAAUCCCUCCCGGUGUACCA